rnacentral:rRNA from 2 species
CGGGGCUAAUACCGGAUAACAUUUUGAACUGCAUGGUUCGAAAUUGAAAGGCGGCUUCGGCUGUCACUUAUGGAUGGACCCGCGUCGCAUUAGCUAGUUGGUGAGGUAACGGCUCACCAAGGCAACGAUGCGUAGCCGACCUGAGAGGGUGAUCGGCCACACUGGGACUGAGACACGGCCCAGACUCCUACGGGAGGCAGCAGUAGGGAAUCUUCCGCAAUGGACGAAAGUCUGACGGAGCAACGCCGCGUGAGUGAUGAAGGCUUUCGGGUCGUAAAACUCUGUUGUUAGGGAAGAACAAGUGCUAGUUGAAUAAGCUGGCACCUUGACGGUACCUAACCAGAAAGCCACGGCUAACUACGUGCCAGCAGCCGCGGUAAUACGUAGGUGGCAAGCGUUAUCCGGAAUUAUUGGGCGUAAAGCGCGCGCAGGUGGUUUCUUAAGUCUGAUGUGAAAGCCCACGGCUCAACCG